GGUUAAGCGACUAAGCGUACACGGUGGAUGCCCUGGCAGUCAGAGGCGAUGAAGGACGUGCUAAUCUGCGAAAAGCGUCGGUAAGGUGAUAUGAACCGUUAUAACCGGCGAUGUCCGAAUGGGGAAACCCAGUGUGAUUCGUCACACUAUCGUUAACUGAAUACAUAGGUUAACGAGGCGAACCGGGGGAACUGAAACAUCUAAGUACCCCGAGGAAAAGAAAUCAACCGAGAUUCCCCCAGUAGCGGCGAGCGAACGGGGAGCAGCCCAGAGUCUGAAUCAGCUUGUGUGUUAGUGGAACGGUCUGGAAAGUCCGACGGUACAGGGUGAUAGUCCCGUACACCAAAAUGCACAGGCUGUGAACUCGAAGAGUAGGGCGGGACACGUGGUAUCCUGUCUGAAUAUGGGGGGACCAUCCUCCAAGGCUAAAUACUCCUGACUGACCGAUAGUGAACCAGUACCGUGAGGGAAAGGCGAAAAGAACCCCGGCGAGGGGAGUGAAAAAGAACCUGAAACCGUGUACGUACAAGCAGUGGGAGCACCUUCGGGUGUGACUGCGUACCUUUUGUAUAAUGGGUCAGCGACUUAUAUUCUGUAGCAAGGUUAACCGUAUAGGGGAGCCGCAGGGAAACCGAGUCUUAACUGGGCGUUAAGUUGCAGGGUAUAGACCCGAAACCCGGUGAUCUAGCCAUGGGCAGGUUGAAGGUUGGGUAACACUAACUGGAGGACCGAACCGACUAAUGUUGAAAAAUUAGCGGAUGACUUGUGGCUGGGGGUGAAAGGCCAAUCAAACCGGGAGAUAGCUGGUUCUCCCCGAAAGCUAUUUAGGUAGCGCCUCGUGAACUCAUCUUCGGGGGUAGAGCACUGUUUCGGCUAGGGGGUCAUCCCGACUUACCAACCCGAUGCAAACUACGAAUACCGAAGAAUGUUAUCACGGGAGACACACGGCGGGUGCUAACGUCCGUCGUGAAGAGGGAAACAACCCAGACCGCCAGCUAAGGUCCCAAAGUCAUGGUUAAGUGGGAAACGAUGUGGGAAGGCACAGACAGCCAGGAUGUUGGCUUAGAAGCAGCCAUCAUUUAAAGAAAGCGUAAUAGCUCACUGGUCGAGUCGGCCUGCGCGGAAGAUGUAACGGGGCUAAACCAUGCACCGAAGCUGCGGCAGCGACACUAUGUGUUGUUGGGUAGGGGAGCGUUCUGUAAGCCUGCGAAGGUGUGCUGUGAGGCAUGCUGGAGGUAUCAGAAGUGCGAAUGCUGACAUAAGUAACGAUAAAGCGGGUGAAAAGCCCGCUCGCCGGAAGACCAAGGGUUCCUGUCCAACGUUAAUCGGGGCAGGGUGAGUCGACCCCUAAGGCGAGGCCGAAAGGCGUAGUCGAUGGGAAACAGGUUAAUAUUCCUGUACUUGGUGUUACUGCGAAGGGGGGACGGAGAAGGCUAUGUUAGCCGGGCGACGGUUGUCCCGGUUUAAGCAUGUAGGCUGAUUGUCCAGGCAAAUCCGGAUAAUCAAGGCUGAGGUGUGAUGACGAGGCACUACGGUGCUGAAGUAACAAAUGCCCUGCUUCCAGGAAAAGCCUCUAAGCAUCAGGUAACAUUAAAUCGUACCCCAAACCGACACAGGUGGUCAGGUAGAGAAUACCAAGGCGCUUGAGAGAACUCGGGUGAAGGAACUAGGCAAAAUGGUGCCGUAACUUCGGGAGAAGGCACGCUGGUGUGUAGGUGAAGUCCCUGCGGAUGGAGCUGAGACCAGUCGAAGAUACCAGCUGGCUGCAACUGUUUAUUAAAAACACAGCACUGUGCAAACACGAAAGUGGACGUAUACGGUGUGACGCCUGCCCGGUGCCGGAAGGUUAAUUGAUGGGGUUAUCCGUAAGGAGAAGCUCUUGAUCGAAGCCCCGGUAAACGGCGGCCGUAACUAUAACGGUCCUAAGGUAGCGAAAUUCCUUGUCGGGUAAGUUCCGACCUGCACGAAUGGCGUAAUGAUGGCCAGGCUGUCUCCACCCGAGACUCAGUGAAAUUGAACUCGCUGUGAAGAUGCAGUGUACCCGCGGCAAGACGGAAAGACCCCGUGAACCUUUACUAUAGCUUGACACUGAACAUUGAGCCUUGAUGUGUAGGAUAGGUGGGAGGCUUUGAAGCGUGGACGCCAGUCUGCGUGGAGCCAACCUUGAAAUACCACCCUUUAAUGUUUGAUGUUCUAACGUUGGCCCCUGACCGGGGUUGCGGACAGUGUCUGGUGGGUAGUUUGACUGGGGCGGUCUCCUCCCAAAGCGUAACGGAGGAGCACGAAGGUUAGCUAAUCCUGGUCGGACAUCAGGAGGUUAGUGCAAUGGCAUAAGCUAGCUUGACUGCGAGCGUGACGGCGCGAGCAGGUGCGAAAGCAGGUCAUAGUGAUCCGGUGGUUCUGAAUGGAAGGGCCAUCGCUCAACGGAUAAAAGGUACUCCGGGGAUAACAGGCUGAUACCGCCCAAGAGUUCAUAUCGACGGCGGUGUUUGGCACCUCGAUGUCGGCUCAUCACAUCCUGGGGCUGAAGUAGGUCCCAAGGGUAUGGCUGUUCGCCAUUUAAAGUGGUACGCGAGCUGGGUUUAGAACGUCGUGAGACAGUUCGGUCCCUAUCUGCCGUGGGCGCUGGAGAAUUGAGGGGGGCUGCUCCUAGUACGAGAGGACCGGAGUGGACGCAUCACUGGUGUUCGGGUUGUCAUGCCAAUGGCACUGCCCGGUAGCUAAAUGCGGAAGAGAUAAGUGCUGAAAGCAUCUAAGCACGAAACUUGCCCCGAGAUGAGUUCUCCCUGAGACUUUAAGUCUCCUGAAGGAACGUUGAAGACGAUGACGUUGAUAGGCCGGGUGUGUAAGCGCAGCGAUGCGUUGAGCUAACCGGUACUAAUGAACCGUGAGGCUUAACCUU
rnacentral:rRNA from 1 species